GUGGGGAAUAUUGGACAAUCGGGGGAACCCUGAUCCAGCCAUGCCGCGUGUGUGAAGAAGGCCUUUUGGUUGUAAAGCACUUUAAGCGAGGAGGAGGCUACCGAGAUUAAUACUCUUGGAUAGUGGACGUUACUCGCAGAAUAAGCACCGGCUAACUCUGUGCCAGCAGCCGCGGUAAUACAGAGGGUGCAAGCGUUAAUCGGAUUUACUGGGCGUAAAGCGCGCGUAGGUGGCCAAUUAAGUCAAAUGUGAAAUCCCCGAGCUUAACUUGGGAAUUGCAUUCGAUACUGGUUGGCUAGAGUAUGGGAGAGGAUGGUAGAAUUCCAGGUGUAGCGGUGAAAUGCGUAGAGAUCUGGAGGAAUACCGAUGGCGAAGGCAGCCAUCUGGCCUAAUACUGACACUGAGGUGCGAAAGCAUGGGGAGCAAACAGGAUUAGAAACCCCUGUAGUCC
rnacentral:rRNA from 1 species